rfam:Pseudogymnoascus pannorum VKM F-4516 (FW-969) contig_438, whole genome shotgun sequence.
UCCCUCGUGGCGCAAUUGGCUAGCGCGUUCGACUGUUAGCGGAUUAAUUCUGGUAUCGAGAGGUUGGUGGUUCGAGCCCACCCGAGGGAG